ACAAAGGGUGUUGGUCGAUUAAGACAGCAGGACGGUGGUCAUGGAAGUCGAAAUCCGCUAAGGAGUGUGUAACAACUCACCUGCCGAAUGAACUAGCCCUGAAAAUGGAUGGCGCUCAAGCGUGUUACCCAUACCCCGCCGCUGGGGCAGGAUUUAUGCCCCAGCGAGUAGGCAGGCGUGGAGGUCCGUGACGAAGCCUUGGGGGUGACCCCGGGUCGAACGGCCUCUAGUGCAGAUCUUGGUGGUAGUAGCAAAUACUCAAAUGAGAGCUUUGAGGACUGAAGUGGGGAAAGGUUCCGUGUGAACAGCAGUUGGACACGGGUUAGUCGAUCCUAAGAGAUAGGGAAACUCCGUUUUAAUGUGGGCGCUUGCGCCCCACCCUCGAAAGGGAAGCCGGUUAACAUUCCGGCACCUGGAUGUAGAUUCUCCGCGGCAACGCAACUGAGAGCGGAGACCUUGGCGGGAGCCCCAAGAAGAGUUCUCUUUUCUUCUUAACAGUCUGUCACCCGUCGACGCGGCCG
rnacentral:rRNA from 1 species